CCUACGGGAGGCAGCAGUGAGGAAUAUUGGUCAAUGGGCGUAAGCCUGAACCAGCCAAGUCGCGUGAGGGAUGAAGGUUCUAUGGAUCGUAAACCUCUUUUAUCAGGGAAUAAAGUGUGGGACGUGUCCUGUUUUGUAUGUACCUUAUGAAUAAGCAUCGGCUAACUCCGUGCCAGCAGCCGCGGUAAUACGGAGGAUCCGAGCGUUAUCCGGAUUUAUUGGGUUUAAAGGGUGCGUAGGCGGCCUUUUAAGUCAGCGGUGAAAGUCUGUGGCUUAACCAUGGAAUGGCCGUUGAAACUGGGGGGCUUGAGUAUGUUUGAGGCACGCGGAAGGCGUGGUGUAGCGGUGAAAUGCUUAGAUAUCACGCAGAACCCCGAUUGCGAAGGCAGCCUUCCGAGCCAUGACUGACGCUGAGGCACGAAAGCGUGGGGAUCGAACAGGAUUAGAUACCCGAGUAGUC
rnacentral:rRNA from 1 species